ACUCCUACGGGAGGCAGCAGUGGGGAAUCUUGCGCAAUGCGCGAAAGCGUGACGCAGCAACGCCGCGUGGGGGAAGACGGCCUUCGGGUUGUAAACCCCUUUCAGUUGGGACGAAGCUCGGUCGGUGAACAGCCGCGCCGGGUGACGGUACCUUCAGAAGAAGCCCCGGCCAACUACGUGCCAGCAGCCGCGGUAAUACGUAGGGGGCAAGCGUUGUCCGGAAUCAUUGGGCGUAAAGAGCGUGUAGGCGGCUCGGUAAGUCCGUUCUGAAAGCCCGGGGCUCAACCCCGGGAGGCGUGCGGAUACUGCUGAGCUCGAGUCCGGAAGAGGCGAGUGGAAUUCCUGGUGUAGCGGUGAAAUGCGCAGAUAUCAGGAGGAACACCAAUGGCGAAGGCAGCUCGCUGGGACGGUACUGACGCUGAGACGCGAAAGCGUGGGGAGCGAACAGGAUUAGAUACCCUGGUAGUCCACGCCGUAAACGAUGGACACUAGGUGUGGGAGGUGUCGACUCCUUCCGUGCCGAAGCUAACGCAUUAAGUGUCCCGCCUGGGGAGUACGGCCGCAAGGCUAAAACUCAAAGGAAUUGACGGGGGCCCGCACAAGCAGCGGAGCAUGUGGUUUAAUUCGACGCAACGCGAAGAACCUUACCUGGGCUUGACAUGUUCCUGACCGCCACGGAAACGUGGCUUCCCUUCGGGGCAGAUCACAGGUGGUGCAUGGCUGUCGUCAGCUCGUGUC
rnacentral:rRNA from 1 species